rnacentral:tRNA from 1 species
UGUCCAGGGAUGGGAAUCAAACCCACAGUGUUCUGCUUACCGGACAGAUGCCAUGUCCACUAGGCUACCUUGGAC